CAGUCGAGCGACUUGCCUAGAUGAUUUAGUGCUUGCACUAAAUGAAACUAUAUACAAGCGAGCGGCGGACGGGUGGGUAACACGUGGGUAACCUGCCCAAGAGACUGGGAUAACACCUGGAAACAGAUGCUAAUACCGGAUAACAACACUAGACGCAUGUCUAGAGUUUGAAAGAUGGUUCUGCUAUCACUCUUGGAUGGACCUGCGGUGCAUUAGCUAGUUGGUAAGGUAACGGCUUACCAAGGCAAUGAUGCAUAGCCGAGUUGAGAGACUGAUCGGCCACAUUGGGACUGAGACACGGCCCAAACUCCUACGGGAGGCAGCAGUAGGGAAUCUUCCACAAUGGACGAAAGUCUGAUGGAGCAACGCCGCGUGAGUGAAGAAGGGUUUCGGCUCGUAAAGCUCUGUUGGUAGUGAAGAAAGAUAGAGGUAGUAACUGGCCUUUAUUUGACGGUAAUUACUUAGAAAGUCACGGCUAACUACGUGCCAGCAGCCGCGGUAAUACGUAGGUGGCAAGCGUUGUCCGGAUUUAUUGGGCGUAAAGCGAGUGCAGGCGGUUCAAUAAGUCUGAUGUGAAAGCCUUCGGCUCAACCGGAGAAUUGCAUCAGAAACUGUUGAACUUGAGUGCAGAAGAGGAGAGUGGAACUCCAUGUGUAGCGGUGGAAUGCGUAGAUAUAUGGAAGAACACCAGUGGCGAAGGCGGCUCUCUGGUCUGCAACUGACGCUGAGGCUCGAAAAGCAUGGGUAGCGAACAGG
rnacentral:rRNA from 1 species